CUAAAAAAAGCGAUCGUAACUCUCCCUGCACGUUAUGUCGUCGUCGUUUUUCGUCAAAUUCUGGGCAUUCGGUAGGUAUAUGAAGUACUGUAAGUUGAGUAUUGCACAUUACACAAAGGGGAGUCUCCCCUUUCUCGAGGGUGUAGCAAUGUGUAAAGCAAUCGGUGUCCUAUUCUAUAUCUGUGUAGAAUAACAUUUUCUUUCCGUUCAAGCCCAACACCGAUACAUGGUGUAGAAGGAUCAGGUUUUAUUUUUACAAGAAAUGUAUCUUUACUACAGUCCGGGACAUUUCUAUUUGGACAUAAAAAAUUUGAAUUUUCUGACAUUUAUACGUGUAUUCAGCGUCUAUGUGAACAAAAAAUGUUCUCUCUCUCAUUCUAUGGUCCUUGAGCUUUAAUAACAGGGACAUUUUUUAAAUUGGUAGCAUUAGAAAAUGACAGUAAACAGCUGACUGAUGUAAACAAUAACACAAUAACAAAGGAAAUGUUAUAAUUUUAAUCUAUAUAACCAGAGGCUGCUUUAAAAGUGUGUACUAACGGGAUAAUAACAUAUUUACGCAAGUAUUUUUGAAGGUAGAAACAUUACUUGUCAUAUAACAACUACUUAGAUUAUAUGAUGAGACGGGAAUGGCACAACACAGAAUUGCAGUCAGUGAUUGUGCUGGAGAAAGCUGCUGUGACGUAGUGACUAUCGCUGGUUGUACGAUUUGUGCAAUUUGUGAUAUGUUUUAUGUGAAGAACUGGAAAACAAAGUGCAUAACUGCAUAACCUCACUUAUCGCAGUUUUGCACAUUUUGAUGAUGGGAAUUGCGGUUCAAGUAAUUAUGAGUUAUAGAUGGAGCCCACUGUUUACUUCAAACUGAAGCCUUUUGGGUCCACUUUUUUCGUUGUUAGCCACUCUUGUUUCAAGCAGAAUGGGUGUAAAGUUAAAAAUAAUCCCAUAAAAUGGUUAAUAUAACUCCUUUGCACUGGCAUGGGUUAUUUGAAAACUUACGUUUGACAAAUACGUCACAAAGUCUCAGCUAUCGUCGAAAAACAUAAUAAGGGCUUUAUAAUAAGAAGCGCUUUCUGAUUUCACUGUGGACGUGUGGAAGAAUAGUGUAAAAUAUUGCGAAAAACCAACUUUUAUUCUUGUUUACAUUUUUGUACGUCUCUAUCUGAGAGUAGUCGUCUUGUAUUAAAAAUAUAGCCUACUAAUAAAGGAAAUUAAAGUGUUUUUAUUUCUGGGUUGCCCCCAAUUCCACUUUGCCCUUGCCUGAUAAUCAAGACACUGAUAAUGAAAUUGAGAGGGGGCAUGCAAUUGGAACAUGACGAUGACUACCCUAAAAGGCACUUCGAGGCUUUUAUGGCCUUUUUAAUGCAAAUUUCAACUUUAAACCUGACAGUCAUACCAAGGUCAAACAUAACCUCAACAGUAAUCCAGUAA